GCAUUUAAUCACAAAUUGAUAUAUAUAAUAAUUAUGUAGACUUUUACUAUAACUACUUAAAUAUUAUAUCUAUGCUUUAUGAUUUUUUA
rnacentral:miRNA from 1 species